AAUCAACGCUGGCGGCGUGCCUAACACAUGCAAGUCGAACGAGAAAGUGGAGCAAUCCAUGAGUACAGUGGCGCACGGGUGAGUAACACGUGACUAACCUACCCAGGAGUGGGGAAUAACUUCGGGAAACCGAGGCUAAUACCGCAUAACACCUACGGGUCAAAGGAGCAAUUCGCUUCUGGAGGGGUCGGCGGCCGACUUAGUU
rnacentral:rRNA from 1 species